rfam:Ailuropoda melanoleuca scaffold722_4, whole genome shotgun sequence.
GCCUGGCUGGCUCAGUCGGUAGAGCCUGUGACUCUUGAUCUCAGGGCCAUGAGUUCAAGCCCCAUGUUGGGUG